AUCUCAUCUGGACAUCCAGCCCCGCCCCGCCCCUCACAGCCGGCCGCCGCCGCCUCCUACCCCGCCGCCGCGCCUACCCCUACACCAAGUGCCAACACACCCGCGCCCAUCCACUACCGGGGACCCGCGGCCUUCUACCGCCGGCGGCACUCGACGUCGCGGCCAUUGGCGGCUCCCCGACCUUGCUACCAUGGCGCCUCCGGGACUCCUCCCCGCUGCUUCCACCUCGACAUUGGUUUCCCCAACCCCGCUGGCUUCGCCACCAGCCACUCCUUCUAGGCACACUCUAUCUGCCGUCGGACCCAUCCGCCUGGUUCCAAUGGUGAACAUCGCCACCACCCUAUUGUGAGGCGAGGUGAUGUUCUUCGAACUGCCGGCUUGAUUCUGCCUAGGUAAUUUCUUCUUUCUACUGUACCACUUCAUAGAAAAAUUUGACUGCCUAAAAAUUCCCCAAUUUGGUACACUUUUUUUUUUAUCAGAGUGAGCUUUUCAACGGAAAUUAUACUUUGAUCCUAUCCAAUCUUACUGUGACAGUAAUAUAUUCCCCUUUCCUUUAUAUGAAAGGAAAAUUGCGGCUCUUUAUCAUGUUGUCAUUAUAUUGUAACCGUGUGCAAGUGUGUUCAGUUCAACUAGAUGUAACUCAUUGACAUAUGAGAUUCCAUUGGGCCUGAUAAUCUUGAAUUUUGCUUCACAAUUUAAAAUGUAGUAUUAGACCUAGAGUUUUUAUGUAUUACAGAACCUGUCCUAUAAAUAUGCCAGUUACAAAUAAAGGUGAUAUUGAUGUGGAAACGCAACACACAUGUAGUAGAUGAAUUGUAUGAAGUAAAUCGCCUUGGAAUGAUGGUUGCUGAAUGUUACAAUUAUAGUCAUCUACCUGGACGACCUUCAAGCACCAAUAACUUAAUCCUUUUAGGUUUUGUUCUUCUUUCUUCGGUACAAACAUAAUAUUGUUUGGUGCUUCCCAAUACUUGGAUGUGAAAAAUAAAGAAGUUUUACAUUUUAAGAACUAAUAGAUUUUUAACAAGAAAAUAUGGUCCAAGUGGGACUACUACUUCUAAAUAUUUUGUCUUUCACAGAAGGGGAUAUCAUACUUCUCCUAAUCAGGAUUGUUGUGUAACGGAAUGAUGGUAGGAUGCUGAAUAAUAAUGGAAGAAAAAGGAGUACAGGCUUUACCUAAUGUACCUACAGCAACAAUGGGUUGCCCCACCAAACAUCACUAGAGGACUAGGAAGGAAAACGGUGAUUUCUCAAUCAGGUUCUAUUGGCCGUUCUAGCAUUAGCAUCAUGAAGAUUCUGGAACAGUGCACGACAUGCCCAAUCCCAAGGUCUUCCCUUAGCUGGUGAAGCACAUGAGCCGGUGUCAAGCAAUAUCCCCUGUAUACUUUGUCCUUGUGUUCUUUCCAGGUAUGCAUCCAUAUCAGCUGCAUCAGGGAGCUCCAUGCACAGUGGUACUACUUCCGAACGUGUAGAACAUGCAAUUGUAUGUAAAUCGCCUUGAAAUGAUGGUUGCUGAAUACUGCAUUAUGCUUGAUAGUCUACCUGGACGACUUCAAGCGCUAAUAGGUAAAUCCUUUUAGAUUUUGUAGUUUUUUUCAGUACAGAGAUAAUUCUGUUUCUUGCUUCCCAAUUUUUGGACGACAAAACAGAGAGGCUUUACAUUAUAAAAGUUACAGUAAUAGAUUAUAAAUAAGAAAAUAAGGUCCAAGCCAGACUCCAACUUAUAAAGGUUUUGUCUUUCACGUCAGGGGAUAUCAUACUUCAUCUAAUCAUGGUUGUCGUGUAACCUAAUGAUGGUUAGUUACUACACAUCCAUAGAGAAAUUGAACAUGGAGAUAUUCUCAUGUCCAUAGUUUCCAGCGAUGAGAAUGGGCUACCCGACAUUGCUCGGCUGCUGAAACUGAGCAAACUUUGUGUAGUUAUUCAUGGUAGAAAUUCCUACUUAAAUUAUCUAUUUCGCCAGAUUGAGAAACUGCAUACAUGCCUUCGUCAAUGCGCAAUCGAACAGCCGUCAGGUGGUGAUGAGAGGACUACUAAAAGCAAGGGAAACACACUAGGCCUCCUUUGGUUUGGAGGAAUUUUGUAGGAUUUUCAUAGGAUAGGAUUUCUAUAGGAAAAAUUCCUUCAGAGCUCUUUGGUUUGUACGAAUGAAAUCCUAUUCCUAUGGAGGAUUUCUUCCUAUCCUCCACAUUUCAUAGGAAAAUAAACAUUAGCCUAGACUCAAUGGAAAAAAUCCUAUGGUGUGAAUCAAAGGCCAUCUCCUUUUCUAUUCCUAUGCAUAGGAUUUGAGAUGCAUGUCAUCUCAUUUCCUAUGACUUUCCUAUUCCUAUGAUUUUCCAAUCCUAUGAACCAAAGGAGGCCUUAAGUUUGCUAUCCACAGUUUCUUCAUAAUCUAAAUACCAGUGGCAUCACAAGUGGGCUUCUCAAUUAAUCCAAAAGAUCCAUCAGGUUGCAAAGAUAAAAACAAUGAACAGAACAUAUCUGAAAGCGGCCCGAGCAUCCUCUACUACUUUUGUUUAGAUGUUAUUUAUCUUGCUCUGUGUUGACAUAUUUUCUUCUUCCGUAGAUGCAAAGCAUCCAGGAUGUGAUCAAUCAUAUGCUGGAGAAUGGCAUUGAGACCUUACUUCACUGGAUAAUGGCAUUUAUAUGCGAUUCCAGUCCUUUCAUAGUGCAGGUGAACUGGAAAUUCUAUCAAAGACAACUGUCCUUUCUUCAGUGUACAUGCAUGAUAUUACAUGAUUAAACAUACCAUUUUUAACUUCAUUUAGUUGUCUAUAUUAUGCUCUAUGUGCUAUUACCAACAAAAAUAGUGUUACCUCCGUACCAGGCCUUCCAAAUAUCUUAUAUUUUGGUACGGAGGUAGUACUUUUAGCCUGCAAAGCGACUUCUAUGCCCAUUGUGGCAAUAAUGUGUUUGCACCACUGAAGAGAUAACUUAUUUUUUUCAUUGUAAGAAACACAUCAUGUUUCUUCCCCAUCAUUUAAGUGUGUGCCAUGUUAUCUUUGUUCAUGUUGCUGGCUGUACAUUUUCAGUAUUCUCAGGAUAUAUCUGAUUAUGAUGAUGUUCCGUACUGCUCUGGAGCCGACAACUUUUUGGACUGCUCGAUGUUUAUAACCAAUGAGACUACUUUUUUGGUUGUUGGCUGGAGCUAUCACUAUGACUGAAAUUUUCUUUUCACCCAAGUAAAUUUAUAUGGUCAUCAAAAACCAACGACAGGUCAACACUUGUCAGCAGUUUGCAAUUUGUAUUACAGUAUGCCUAAGCCAAUGUUCAGACAAUGUUGUUUUAGUUAGGAAAUGUCGAAAACAUGGUCAUGAUUUAUGUAGAUUGGACAGUCCCUUCAAACUGCAGUCUUUGAUCUAGAGUGGACAAUCUAACUAUUUGUUUUCUUUUAGAAAAUGACUAUAUGUUCCAUGAAUUCACUGCUUAUUUUGGCCAGAUCAGAUUAAACUAGGUCUUGAUUUCAAGGUUCAGUUAAGGCAGUUGGUGCAGGUUUGUUUGCUGUAAUACUAACUGUGCUAUUUAGACAGAGACAUUUGCUCUUUCUCAUUCCUCGACAUUUUCCUUUGCUACCAAGAUUUUUCAUUCUAGGUUGUGGAAAACGCAUGUCGCGUUCCUUCUACAAGUCGUCAUGAGCUGGGACAUAGAAGAAGAGAGCCGACGAGAAGUCGCAAAGCGGUUCGCUCCGGUGUUGCUGCCAAUGGCGCUGCACAAAGUGCAGAUUGCAGGCUAGAUGCGUACAAGUCCGUCCCUACUUCCACGACGUGGAAGCAAAGGAAAUUUAGUCAAUUAGAUAGUAUAUUUGGUUAUGAAAGUUAUCUUUUGAGUAUGCAGUUUUGCCAUCAUUUUGUAAAAGCUUUGAGUUUUUUAUAAUGUAAUUGUCUUACUAAUCACACUUUUAAUUGAUUUGUGCCAAGGCUAAUAGCCAAGUUAUGCACAAACUGUUCAUGUUUCCUUGAUGACUGCUAUUGUCAGAAGAUUCUUUUCAGCAUUUAAGUAAUACCGAUCCCACUUUCAGUUA